ensembl:lncRNA
CUGAGGUUACAAAUCUCAUGCAGUGCUUGCACCUUCUCUGGACAGCUGAAACAGCUCUCAGUGCUAUGGCUACGUGUCCAUCCGUAGCAAAAAAAAAGCGCCUUUGGGACAGCAUUGGUUGUAUGCGAGGAGCUCCAGGGCACCCAAUGUCAAAAUAUUCCUGUCCUGCACAGACUGUGUGGUGCCUUACUCACUGAUGGUGCUUUGAAGAGCAGGAGCUGUACUUUGGUGACACAAGAGAGUGCAAAGUGGCUGAAGGUGUCCGUCCGAUGGGAGAUCCAAGCUCCAGGAGAGGAAAAUCAGGCCAGAAAGAGAGAAGAAAAAAGGCCUACAGAAAACCCCGACCUUUGCUACAACCAGCUGUGAUUGGAGGCUUUCCAAGCCUGAGUGAGCUGGGUGAGGUGGAAGGGAGGCGUGUUCCCUCUAAGAGCCCUUUCCCUGGAGAGCCCAGGCAAUGGAUGCCACAGCCAAGGCGCCGUUUGAAGCAGCCUGGGCAGCUGGUGAGGUUAUCAGGGGUAGCAAGUCAGCCAAACACACAGCAGGGGAUGUAGAGCGGCCACUUUCCUUCAUUUAGUGGCAAAGCAGAUAGCAUGGUGUCCCCCAAAAAGCUCACCCCAACGUCAAACACCAGCUUUUGCAUUUUCCAGCGGCUCAUGAGUAAAAUAAGCCUGGGGGUGAAAGGGAGAGAAUAUGCCUUGGUGCUGCUGACACCGAUGCCCUGUAACCUGGGUAGGGCAGUAAUAGCUCAUCCUAGAGCGAUAAGAGCUACAAAAUAACUGAUUUUAGUAGUUAUUGCUCUUUCAAAUGGAUAAGCAGUUUUCAACCAAAACAUAGACUUUUAAAAGCUUUUCUUCUUUACGCAGGUUAAAACUGGGAUCUGUGUCCCAGAAGUUGCAUCCACCUUGCUGUAGUAUUUCGAAAAUACCUGGAUCCUGAGGCUGUGAAAGCAGAGCUUGGAAAGCAAUGCUCGGGGAAGGCUGCUAAUGACCUGGAAGAUGACUGAUACUUAUCCUCACUGAAUUGGCAGUAAAUGUGAAAGAGAUAACUGCAUCUUGAUUUUAACAAAUUCUUUAGAUUUCCAUCUCCACGAGCGCAGGGUUAGAUUCCUACUGUGCACACAUCUUUUUUAGCUCUCAGACAUCCAUGCACAGCUCCACUCAGGUGAGAAGGGGCAAGAGAGAUGUGGAGUGGUCCCAGCAGCAGAUGCUGCUGCACAGCAGACUUUAUCUCUUCUGCUCACGCCAUUCAGCAUACUUCUCUCUCUGUUAUGACUGGGAAGUGGCUCAGAUGUAUCUGGGAGCAAAGCAGGCUGCAAGCAGUAUAAGCUACACUGGAAAAAGGCACCUUUAUUUUGGGUUAAAAAAAAAGAGAAAAGAGGAAAGAAAAAUCUGCAGAGGGAUUUAACUCUAGAGGGUUCAUACAGCUAAAAAAUGUCCCUGUUUGAGUCAAAGCUUGAAAACCUGGUAAAGCUGGACACAGUGAAGGGAAUGAUGUGCGAAAUGCAGAGGGGAUGUGUAGGGAAGGAGACAGAUUUGCAGAGGUGGCUAUGCAGCAGGGGGGCAAGGAAACCCAGUAAAGGGCUAAAAGCAUGCAUGGCAAAGCCAGGGCAGUGCUGGCUGGGGAACAAUGCAUGACGUACGUCUUUUGGGGCACAGGAAAGAAAGCCAGGAGGAACUACAGCAUGCAGCACGUUUUUCUGAGCUCAGCUUUUGGUGAGCAUCAAUGGGCUCAGAAACAGUCCCAUGGCCCAAGGCAGUGCACAAGGAAUUACUGAAGAGGGACAGGUGGAGGGUGCGUGGGUCAUGGGCACGGGAAGGAGCAGAAAGAUGCAGCAAUAGGGACCCGUGGCUGCAGACACCUGCUGUGCAGCACCUGCAGAAGCUGAGCUGGAAAUACCCAUCCCAUCCAUGGAGAGAAGAUGGAGCUGAAGUAAUUCUGGUAGGUACUGUCAUGAAAAUACUGUUCAGGUCACCAUAACUAAUGUCCUUCUUUUAGGGGAGGGCUGUCACUGGGAGACGAAGGGUGCCCGAAGCCAAGACCGAGGCACGGUUGUGUAUGUGCAUGCAUGAAGCUUGCACGGAAUCAGCCAAAGGCUCACGUUGAGUCCCGUUCCUUCAGACUCAUUUUGAGGGACAUUUUUUCUCUGUUUAGACCAAAGACCAGGCUAUCCCUUAAAAACUACCCUAUCCCACGCAGCUCCGCAGACGGCUGUCUCCUGCAAUCAGAUCAGGACUGGCAA